GACGAGCGCUGGCGGCGUGCUUAACACAUGCAAGUCGAACGGAAAGGCCCUGCUCUUGUGGGGUGCUCGAGUGGCGAACGGGUGAGUAACACGUGAGUAACCUGCCCUUGACUUUGGGAUAACUUCAGGAAACUGGGGCUCAUACCGGAUAGGAGCUCCUGCUGCAUGGUGGGGGUUGGAAAGUUUCGGCGGUUGGGGAUGGACUCGCGGCUUAUCAGCUUGUUGGUGGGGUAGUGGCUUACCAAGGCUUUGACGGGUAGCCGGCCUGAGAGGGUGACCGGCCACAUAGGGACUGAGAGACGGCCCAGACUCCUACGGGAGGCAGCAGUGGGGAAUAUUGCACAAUGGGCGGAAGCCUGAGGCAGCAACGCCGCGUGCGGGAUGACGGCCUUCGGGUUGUAAACCGCUUUCGCCUGUGACGAAGCGUGAGUGACGGUAAUGGAUAAAGAAGCACCGGCUAACUACGUG
rnacentral:rRNA from 1 species